UUCUAAAUGUCCCUGUACAUUUAAGACAUGGAAUGCUUUAAUCAUCCAUCAAAGUAGAGUGCAUUCCACACAAGAUAAUCAGACACGAAAAGAGUUGUCCAUUUUCAGCUGUCACUUAUGUGCAUGCAAAAAUUUAGCUAAUGAAAGGGAGUUUUUUGUUCAUAUCAACACACAUCUGAAGAAAAAUGAAAAUGUAGGUUGCAUGUUCGUUGGCUGUAGUUUUCAAACAAGUAUUUAUGGAACCUUUAAGUCUCAUAAGAGUCGCCGGCACACACCUCACACAUUAUCUGAUUUUCUACCAGGUAUUGUAAAAACAACUACAAUAGCAUCUCCACCAUUAGAUGAUUUGUUUGCUGAUAGCCAGGAUGAGGAGUGUGUGUUAGAGGAAGUUUCUGAUUCUUCACGAGAUCAACACAAUGCACUUCCAAGUGCAAUUGAGCAGCAGCUUGCAGCAGCCUUACUAAAGUUGGAAUAUUUAGUCCACGUGCCAGGUACAGCAAUUGAUGAUUUUUUGCAAGAACUUUACUACUUGAUAAACAUAGCAUCAGUCACAGUAUCUAGAAGUGUUGUGACAGAUAUCCUUAAGCAUCACAAAAUACAAGUUGAUGACUCUGUAGUUACAGAAAUCACCACAGCAGUAUGCUCAUCUAACCCUGUUCCAAAAGCAAUUGAAAAAGGCGGCCCUCUUAGUACUUCAUAUCAACGUAAACAAUUUUAUAAGGAAAAAUUCUGUGUUGUGGAACCAGUUACUUACAUACUUGAUCAUAAAAAGAAACACACCUUUCAGUAUGUCCCACUGUUGAAAUCUUUGCAACAAAUUUUAAAUAAUAAGGCCAUUGUUGAUAAGAUAAUUGAAAAUCAUAGAGGACAGCAGGACACUGAACUUGACCCAUCUCUUGAAUUCAGGUCCCCUGAAGAUGGUUUGCAUUUUAACGCAAACAGCUUCCUAAAUGCAGAGGAGUUACGGAUAACACUGCGUCUGUAUGUGGAUGAUUUUGAGACCUGCAAUCCCCUAGGCACCUCUAGGAAAAAACACAAGCUUUGUGGUGUUUACUGGAUACUAGGUAACCUGCCACCAGGCUCCCACUCAUCUUUAUCAUCUAUUUAUCUUGCAGUGCUUUGCAAAAGUGUUGAUGUAAAAACAUAUGGUUAUGAAACAGUCUUGGAACCCCUUCUUCAAGAUAUUAAAAUUCUCGAGGACUAUGGUGUGUAUGUGCCUUUAUUAGGUAAGUCUCUUAAAGGUACAGUACUGAGUAUUGUGGCUGACAACCUGGGCGCGCAUGGUAUUGCAGGGUUCAUAGAAAAUUUUUCUGGUGAUUACGUUUGUCGCUUUUGCACAGCAAAGAGUUGUGAUUUCAGGAAUCAGUGUGUUGCUACCGGUGCUUUCAGCCUUAGAACUAGAGCUGGCCAUGCAGAUCAUGUAAAAUCAUCUUGUGAGAAGGGUACACAUUGCUUUGGAGUUAAGAGAGAGUGCAUUUUUACCAAAACUCUGUCUCAUUUUCAUGUUGUCUCCGGUUUUCCGCCUGAUGUUGCUCAUGAUAUAUUUGAGGGCAUUGUGCCUGUUGAGCUGGCCCACUGCUUGGCAUUAAUGAUAUCAAAGAAGUUAUUUACAUUAGAUGAACUAAAUAGAGCUAUACUGACUUUCCCCUAUAAAUGGUCCGACAAAACAAACAAGCCACAUAUUGUACCACAAAGUUUCUUGGGUCGGAAAACUAUCGGUGGCAACGCUCAUGAAAACUGGAGCCUACUGAGGCUGCUCCCAUUUGUGAUAGGUCCCCUUGUCCCAGAAAAUGAGCCAGCAUGGCUUGUGUUGAUGGAUUUAAAAGAUAUUGUGCAGUUAGUUGUUGCUCCUGUGCAUACAGAUGAAUCCAUCUCAUACCUUGAAAGCAAAAUUGUUGAGCACAGACAGAGGUACCAAGACCUGUUCCCUGGUGUCAGACUUCUACCCAAACACCACUAUGUAGAACACUACCCGCAGAUGAUAAGGUGUUUUGGCCCUCUAGUCACAGUUUGGACAAUGAGAUUUGAAGCCAAACAUAGUUUCUUUAAGAACAUUGUUAAACACACAAGUUGCUUUAAGAAUGUACCACUGACUUUGGCUUCAAAACAUCAAAUGAUGAUUGCAUUUCACCUAAACUCACCGUCUUAUGGUAAAUCUUGCCUAGAUGUAUCUACUGUCUCCACAGUUCCAGUUGAUGUACUGAAGGAGGAAGUAGCUGAGGCUAUAAAGCUAAAAUGCCCUAGCACAUCUGAAGUGCAUCUUGCUAAGAAUGCAUCAAGCAAUGGCAUAGCCUACAGCAAUGGCAUGAUAGUUGCCCAUGGAUCAGUAGGUGGAUUACCAGAGUUUGCUGAAAUUAGUCAGAUGUGUGUAAUAAAUGAGAUGUUGUUCCUCAUUGUGAAAGUGCUGUGUGGGUGGUACACUGAACACUACAGAGCCUUUGAGCUAAGCUUGUCACCAUCCAGAGAAGUAAAACUUGUGGCACUCAGUGAACUCACUGACCCCUAUCCACUGGCCUCUUACACUGUUGGAUCAAGUCAUAUGGUAACCUUAAAAAGGCAGAUUAUCAUAAAAGGUUGGUUAACCACCAAAAUGGUGAUUAAUAGUAGGACUGAACAGUUAAUUGCAAUAAGAUAUUUUCAGUCCAAAGUAAUUGCUCUUUUUUUUACACACGUAUAUUUGGUGAUAUGGUAAUGUGCAUGCUGAGUUGUAUGUUUUGUUAUUUUGUCACAAGACAUUUGUCUUUGGAGUCUGUCAAUCUGCCUGCAUGUGUAUCAUCACAUCUAUUUUCUCUUCACAUUCAGACUGUAUUUUUUUGUGCUUUGUUGCCCAUGGGAGUUUCUCUGAAAUCUCUUUGUAUAUCCAUUAUAGGUCAUACUGUAUUGCAUGCACUGAUUUUUGUGGGUCACAUCCUAGGCUUCUCAUUUGUUUCCACCUCUUUCUAGUUUUCAGGAUGAACUUUAAGCUAGUACAGAUGGAUUUUAUCAGGUAGUAGUUGGGCAAAUUACAAAAUGAAAGUGGGACUAGAAUCAAUUCUCCAAGGCCUUCUUCAAGGCCAAGUGGUAAACUGAAAAUGAGAAACCUAACAUCAUGUUGCAUCAAUUAGUGUAUUGACACAAGUAAAAUACUUGACAUAAAACAAUAAGCAUUAAUCUUUUUUUCCUUUUUGUCACUUUCCUUCUUUUUACAGACUGAGACGUAGAAGGAUGAAUGCCCCGACACUUCUCAAAGUCAUCCUGGGUGACAACAGCAGCCAAAGGAUGACUUUUCAAAAUGGACUCCCAGGAUCUGUUAAUGAACUUGUUAGUGAGGUACAAAGACAAUGUGGACUUGACUAUGACUUCAGACUUCAGUUUAUGGAUGCACUAUUUGGAAAUGACUUCAUGAACCUCACUUCAAUGGAUGAAGUACAGGAUAGAGGGACAAUUAGAGUGAUUGCCAUGACAGAUUCCUCAACUCCUCAGUGUGCUAAUAUCCUUCCCACCUCAGCUGCCCAUCACUCCCUUAAUGAAUCCUCAUCCCUGUCCAGUGGAUGUGUUGACACUGACAUACUCUCUUCACCGGAGUCAGAGUCAUCCGGCUCUCGGUCAUCUUGGCCGAGCAUCUUUCGUGUUCCUCAGUUUAGUUAUGAUGCCGAGUUGAAACUUGCGCAGGGCAAUGCAGCUUACAGGGAAAAGGGUACAUUGUUUAUUCCUGAUCCUAAACUGAAGUCGAACAUUCUUGAGGGCCUAGUGCAAGAAAUUGUUAAGUACAAACUUUAUGUUUCUGACAAAGACUUUAACACAGUUGGAGAGGCUCUAAUCUCAAAGCAUCCUUGCCUGACUGAGAAAGGCUCCCUCUCUGGAUAUGCUGGAUGGAAAUGCAGCUUGAAGAACAAACUGGCAAUCUACCGCACUCACCUAAGAAAGCUUGGAUGUCCUGAGGUGACAAUAAACUCACUCAAGCACAAACCAGAGGGCAAAUCAAGCCCUGCUUUUGGCAUUAAAAAACCAAGAAGGUCUGAAGUGAACUACUGUCCCCCCUAUCCUACUGGAGAAUCUGAGAAGAGUCUUGAGAGUGUGAGAAUGGAGCUUCUUUCAGAUGUUAAGAAGAAGAACAACAGGGAAGCAGUAAGGAUGAAAAUGGAAAAGACAUUUGCAUAUAGGAGACAGGAAGUGGUUCGCGACACACCAAUGAUAAGAGACUUCCAGACGAGAUGGCCAGCACUUUUUGAAGUAGGCGAGAUAAAUGCUGAAUUCAAACGGAUCACAACAAUGCCCCUGCAGUCCAGAUUUCUAUCGCAAUUAGAUGUUCACUCCGAGAAACUGCUCAAAAUGUUUAAAAACAGAGGAGGACAGAUUGGCAGACGCCUAGGGGGCAUCAUUGCACCCAUGGAUGAAGAUGAUGACGUGGAUCUGGGAAGAGAAUGUGUCAUAAAGGCACUCUGCGUUUACCUGAACGAGGACCCAGAGAAUCUAUUGAGAGAGUAUGUGGCAGCAGAUGAAUCCCUCCUCCAGGAAUCCAUUGAGGAAACCACUAUGGGUAUAUACGUCUGGAAACACAGAGAUGACAGUGAAAAACCAGAGGACAUUGGCAUUGUCCUCGAGUCCCAGAUUGUGAUGCAGGAUAUGGACAGUGUUCCCUUAGCUGCUGCCAUGUUGUUUGGCCUAAUAUAUUCUUUGAACUUAAACUACCCUGCUGAACUCAAGUAUACCUUUGAAGUGCUGCAGAAGGUGGUCAUGGAGCUUGAAGGCAAUGCACUGUCCAAAAAAGCCCAAGUCCUGAAGAACAGACUUUAUCAGUGAACUGGCUAUCCAGGCUCUCGAGCUUGAUUUCUUAAGACAUACAUUAUGUCACCUACCUCUUCCAGUUGUUGGACUUUUCUUUUGGGCGGGUAGGAGGCUUUUUGUU